AUUCUUGGUUCAGCAGUACAGGUACUGAAAUUUGAGUGAUACAGAGAAGAUUGGCAUGUUCCCUGUGCAAGGAUGACAUGCAAAUUUGUGAAGUGGGUCAUAUUAAA
ensembl:snRNA U6 U6 spliceosomal RNA